CCCUUAGAUGUUCUGGGCCGCACGCGUGCUACACUGAGUAAUUCAAUGGGUAAGGGAACGCUAGAGCAUUACCUAAUCUUGAAAUUUGCUCGUGAUGGGGAUCGACGGUUGCAAUUUUCCGUCGUGACCGAGGAAUACCUUGUAGGCGCAUGUCAUCAUCAUGCGCCGAAUACGUCCCUGCCCUUUGUACACACCGCCCGUCGCUCCUACCGAUUGAGUGAUCCGGUGAGGCUCUGGGACCUGGACGGAAAGAGCGUUUCGCUUGUUCUGUUUGGGAAACUUGGUCGAACCUUAUCAUUUAGAGGAAGGAGAAGUCGUAACA
rnacentral:rRNA from 1 species